rnacentral:rRNA from 1 species
CUGGCGGCGUGCUUAAUACAUGCAAGUCAACUUGACUUUAGAUAGCAAUAUCGAAAGUAGGGUGGCGCACGGGUGCGUAACGCGUAGGUAAUCUGCCCUGAGGUCUGACAUAACCCGUCGAAAGGCGGGCUAACAUCAGAUGAUAUAUAAUCACGACAUCGUGGAAAUAUCAAAUCUUCGGAGCCUUGGGAUGAGCCUGCGUCUGAUUAGGUAGUUGGCGGAGUAAUAGCCCACCAAGCCUACGAUCAGUAGCUGGUCUGAGAGGAUGAUCAGCCACACUGGAACUGAGACACGGUCCAGACUCCUACGGGAGGCAGCAGUAAGGAAUAUUGCUCAAUGGGGGGAAACCCUGAAGCAGCAACGCCGCGUGAAGGAUGAAAUACUUUUGUAUGUAAACUUCUGUAAGAUGGGAAAAAUAUUCUCCUCGGGAGAAUUGAUUGUACCAUCAGAGUAAGCCCCGGCUAACUACGUG